rnacentral:rRNA from 1 species
UCUCGGGUGACGAGUGGCGGACGGGUGAGUAAUGUCUGGGAAACUGCCCGAUGGAGGGGGAUAACUACUGGAAACGGUAGCUAAUACCGCAUAACGUCUUCGGACCAAAGUGGGGGACCUUCGGGCCUCACACCAUCGGAUGUGCCCAGAUGGGAUUAGCUAGUAGGUGGGGUAACGGCUCACCUAGGCGACGAUCCCUAGCUGGUCUGAGAGGAUGACCAGCCACACUGGAACUGAGACACGGUCCAGACUCCUACGGGAGGCAGCAGUGGGGAAUAUUGCACAAUGGGCGCAAGCCUGAUGCAGCCAUGCCGCGUGUAUGAAGAAGGCCUUCGGGUUGUAAAGUACUUUCAGUGGGGAGGAAGGCGAUGAAGUUAAUAACUUCGUCGAUUGACGUUACCCGCAGAAGAAGCACCGGCUAACUCCGUGCCAGCAGCCGCGGUAAUACGGAGGGUGCAAGCGUUAAUCGGAAUUACUGGGCGUAAAGCGCACGCAGGCGGUCUGUCAAGUCGGAUGUGAAAUCCCCGGGCUCAACCUGGGAACUGCAUUCGAAACUGGCAGGCUAGAGUCUUGUAGAGGGGGGUAGAAUUCCAGGUGUAGCGGUGAAAUGCGUAGAGAUCUGGAGGAAUACCGGUGGCGAAG